GACGAACGCUGGCGGCGUGCUUAACACAUGCAAGUCGAACGCUGAAGACCUGGCUUUUGUUGGGUUGGAUGAGUGGCGAACGGGUGAGUAACACGUGAGUAACCUGCCCUCUUCUUUGGGAUAACGCCCGGAAACGGGUGCUAAUACUGGAUAUUCACUGAUCUUCGCAUGGGGGUUGGUGGAAAGGUUUGUUCUGGUGGGGGAUGGGCUCGCGGCCUAUCAGCUUGUUGGUGGGGUGAUGGCCUACCAAGGCUUUGACGGGUAGCCGGCCUGAGAGGGUGACCGGUCACAUUGGGACUGAGAUACGGCCCAGACUCCUACGGGAGGCAGCAGUGGGGAAUAUUGCACAAUGGGCGAAAGCCUGAUGCAGCGGCGCCGCGUGAGGGAUGGAGGCCUUCGGGUUGUAAACCUCUUUCGCUCAUGGUCAAGCCGCAACUGUGGGUUGUGGUGAGGGUAGUGGGUAAAGAAGCGCCGGCUAACUACGUG
rnacentral:rRNA from 1 species